rnacentral:tRNA from 1 species
UAGGCCGAAUUCCGCUGGAUAGGAUGUUUAGUUGUUAUUUAAUAUUUUACGGGAUCAAGGCCCGUCGGCCUAG